CCCUCAUUUCCUCAAUCGCUGUCCUGGAGAGGGAGAAGCGGAGGAAAAUGAGCAGAAAUACCGCUUCAUUCACAGUGAGGAGGAUGGAGACAGCAACAUGAAGGACCGCAGGCGAUGGAGGCGGAAGGUGGCAAGAUACUGAGGAAUGUCACAGCAAGGACACCAGCUGAUCCAGGACAGAAAACCAGUGGAAACAAGGACCACAGAGUGAGAACAGUGCUUGCCUUGAGCAGCUUUUGGAAUUCAUCUCCUGCCAGUGGCAUUCAGUGACAUCUUGGCCACCAAUACCUGGAAAGCUCUGAGCUCUACUGCCCACUUGUUAUGUUGCUGCAGACUUUUGGAGGUUGCAUGUGGACCAGAGCAUCAGUGUGGUCCUGUUGUCCUCCCUGCACAGCCUCAGCUCUGUGGUGUUGCAGAACAAAUGACAAAAACGGAGAUUUUUGUGCGAUGAAAUCUGCAGGGUGUGGCAAGAGGGGACAGAAUCUAAGAAAAGAAAAGAAACCCUAGAAAAUGAAUUGCACGCUAUGAAUGUAAA